rnacentral:tRNA from 1 species
GGCGGGGUAGCCAAGUGGUAAGGCACGGCUCUGCAAAAGCUGUAUUCGCGGGUUCGAUUCCCGCCCCCGCCUCCA